rnacentral:sRNA from 1 species
UCGUCAAGGACCACACGCAUCCUGGCCAUC